GUGACAGCUCUGGGUUCUAAUGAUCACGUGCUUACAAAUUGAGACAGCAUUCUUCAACCUUGUGAGGCUGAGGAGGGAAAUUGGGAAUGCAGUCACCAAUGAAGGAAAUCGACAGUCCAAUCUUGACAGAAAUCUCCAGUCUGGUUUUGUUCGCUGCUGUGUGGAGAUUUCAACUCUGAUGUCUCAACAAUAUCAUGGCGGAUAUGUUUGGUUGGGUCCACUCUGAAUUUUGAUCCAGGUGAAAUAUUGAGAAUCCACUUUGAGGCCAUGAAGAAAAACAGUGAAGGCCAACACGUUGAUGAACUUUAGAGAUCGGAAAAUUGACCUUUGAUUCUGAAAGCAAAUAGAAUAUGCAAAGUUCCUGGUGAAGUCUAGCUGUCCUGGCAAGUUUAGCUAAAUUAUCUACAACUCCAAGAUGAAAUAUUAAGAAGAAUGAUUGCUUGAGUAAUUUUUCAUCAUUUUUUUUCAUUGAUAGCAGAAUCCAAUAAGGGUGUUUUCUGGACUAGCUCUGUCUGGCCUGUUGUUUUCUGUUAGGUUGAAAGGAGCCAUAUUGGAGUGUGGUUUGGGAGAAGAAGAAUGCUCUGAAACAGACUUUGGAACAGUUCCUAUGGAUAGGAGGGUAGCUGAAUAACAUCACACUAUUUUAAAAAGGAGGUAGAGGGAAAACAUGGAAUUAUAGACCAGUUAGCCAGACAUUGCUAGUAGGCAGAAUGCCAAGAGUCCGUUGUAUAAAACCCUGAAUAAGAGAACUCUUGGAGAACAGUGAUAGGAUUGGACAGAAUCAGCAAGGAUUGAUUGAAGGAAAAUCAUCUCGAGAAAAUACUAGAUGUUUUCAAGGAUGCAACUUGUAAAGUUGAUAAGAGGGAGCCCAUGGAUGUGGUUUAUUUGGGCUUUCAAAAAGGCUUGUAAAUUAGUGGAUGGAAUUGGGGAUAGUGUACUGACAUGGAUAGAGAACUGGCUGGCAAACAGGAAACAAAGAUGAAGAAUCAAUGUGUAAAUUUGAGUGAAGUUUGCGUAGUGGGAUUCCACACGAAUCAGUGCAAGGACCUCGGCUAUUGUCAAAAUAUAUUAACAAAUUUAGAUGAGGGAAUUAGAGGUAAUAUCUUCAACUUUUCAGCUGACACAAAGUUGGUUGGGAGUGUGAACUGUGAGACAAUGCAUACAGAGGUGCUUCAGUGUGAUUCGCACAAGUUGAGUGAGUGGGCAAGUGCCUGGCAGCUGAAGUGUCAUGUGAAAUUGUGAGAGGUUCUCUACUUUGGUAGGAAAAAUAGAAAGCACAUUAUCUGUGUGGUGAUAAUUUGGGAAAGGGGAAGGUGCAGUAAGACCCAGGCGGUGUUGUCCACCAAUCGCUGAAAGUAAGCAUACAGAUUCAGAAGGUAAAAGAGGUGAAUGUUAUGUUGGCCUUCAUAGGGAAAAGAUUCGAGUACAGAAAUAAAUAAGGAUGUCUUGCUGCAAUUGUACAGGCCACUGGUGAGACCAUACCUGGAGUAGUGUGUGCAGUUUUGGUCUCCUUACCUAAGGAAGGAUAAGGCCAGAACUCACAUGACACCGGGUUAUAGUCCAACAGGUUUAUUUGAAGAAAUGAGUUUUCAGAUGUUAGUGAGAUCGGUGUUAUCAGACACACAAUUUCUAACUAAAAAAAUCAAAGGGUCACACCACUGGUGAGGAUAUACUAAACAAACCCAAAAGGCUGUUAAAUCUUUAAUCACUUAGAAGGUUUUAAUUGAUUAAUAUGAAUAUGUAAAUCCCUAAAUUGCUUUGAAGGCACUGUCCUGUGAGAACUAAAGGUUUUAUCAGUGUAAAGAAGAGAUGACAUUUUAGGUCAGACACUGCGUGUUAGGUGUGAGG